rnacentral:rRNA from 1 species
AACCCCUGUGAACAUACCACUUGUUGCCUCGGCGGAUCAGCCCGCUCCCGGUAAAACGGGACGGCCCGCCAGAGGACCCCUAAACUCUGUUUCUAUAUGUAACUUCUGAGUAAAACCAUAAAUAAAUCAAAACUUUCAACAACGGAUCUCUUGGUUCUGGCAUCGAUGAAGAACGCAGCAAAAUGCGAUAAGUAAUGUGAAUUGCAGAAUUCAGUGAAUCAUCGAAUCUUUGAACGCACAUUGCGCCCGCCAGUAUUCUGGCGGGCAUGCCUGUUCGAGCGUCAUUUCAACCCUCAAGCACAGCUUGGUGUUGGGACUCGCGUUAAUUCGCGUUCCUCAAAUUGAUUGGCGGUCACGUCGAGCUUCCAUAGCGUAGUAGUAAAACCCUCGUUACUGGUAAUCGUCGCGGCCACGCCGUUAAACCCCAACUUCUGAAUGUUGACCUCGGAUCAGGUAGGAA